GCGCAGGAGGCUGUUGACGGAGCACGCAGUGACGCAGGUGGCCAUGGUAGCGACACACGCAGUGGCAGUCUUCGAACUGAUGGUCGCGACGAACUCGGGCACCCUGAAGCCAUGUGGUUGGACUGAGCAUGGCGCUGAAGUUGAGUAGAAUAUUUUAGGAAUUAGGGUGAUUAGGAAACAACAAACAGGUGCCUGGAAGACACUAUGCAUUACAACUUGCUGAUUUCUCGACUGAAGCUGUUUACUGCACAGCUCCUAUAUUGAUUGAGCUACCCUGAAGUUGCUGGAAUAGACAAAAGUCUUGAUCAGAAUCUCGCCAGCGUUUGACACUAGAAUGAAUUUAUGAAAACUUACCCAGUUUGUUUAGCUGCUGACUUGAGAAGAGCCAUCCUUUCUGCAUCAGAGAGCUGCUGUGAUGUACUAAGCCAUUGCAUUUUCUGGCCUUACAAAAUUAUGGACUCUCGAGAUAUGAACUAAUAUACAUGUUUGUCAACAAACUUAUGGUCUCUCGAGAUCUGAACUGAUUGUGUUACAAGCACACACACCAAUUCCAAUGAGUUGAUGCAAGUACUGUUAAAAAGAUAAUCAAGUUCAGUAUAUUGAUUGGGAGAAGUUCAAAAAAACAAACUUUAUAAAAAGUUUGUACUGUUUUUUCUAUAACAACUAUAGUCAUCUUUUUGCCAGAGCAUCACAAAAGAGCGCGGGGAAGAACUAAAAAUCACAUAAAAGAGAAACUAGCAUUUUCGUUUUUGUUGAACCCAGUAACUUUUGCCCUUGUUAUAGAACUACACCUUUUAUGCACAAUAAAGCAUACAGACUGAAAAGAACACACAAGCUGAACUGUAAACCAAAAUAAAUGGCCUAUGGGUUCCCCAUAUAGCAACUAAAACUCUGUACAACUACACCUUUAUUGCUGCACUAUUACUUAAACAAGGUAAAUCAAUAAAAAACUGAACUAACAAACUUCUACUUAAUAUCAUUUGUGCAUGUCCAUGGCGGCAGUGUGCAACUGUUGAGCAUGUAGCUCAUGUAGCUCAUGUGCCGGAUACAAAUGCCUUUAGUGGUGGAAGCAAAUGCUCGUGUGCUGGACGCAAGUUCACCAUAUAUAUGUCCCUGUAUGAACUUAUAGAUUUCCAUUUCUUUCUUUACACAUAAAAGUCAGUGCUUUUUUGUAGAAUGAACACCUACUGUUUUUACCAAUUGAACUAUUAAAGCAUUGAAAAGUGAACUUUUUAUUGAUUUGUUUUACAUAGCUAACAGUGGACAAAGAUAAAAAUUAUGAGUUUCCAUAAACAUAACCAAAACAAGCAUUUGAAUUGGUUAUGUACCUCCACUUUCAGUUCUGUUUGAACUUACUUGGCAUAAAAAAUAGUAUUUGCUCUACUGUAAAAGAAGAUAAAUGAAAUGUUAGUAUGAAAGUAAAGCUCAUUAUUAAAAGAAAUUUGGUUCUCAAUACAUAGAUAUGAGUGUUGAGUGUACAGGUUUCACAAAGGUAAUCAUGGCAAGAUCCUACAGGGAACAAAAUGAACCUAUUUUAGCAAUAAAAUAGGUGAACUUAUAUGCGGGGCAGAAACUGAACUGAAUUGAACACAAAAUAAAAAUUGAUCUAACUUGGUCACUGGAAUAAGAACUGAACCAAACUGCAAUUCAGUGGUACAUCAAACAGUGCCACUUGAUGCAAGAACAUGAUGUGGAUGAAACUUCAAAUCGCCUUUAUAGUAAUUAGUGAUCUAAAUGGAACCGAGUUUCAAUCAUACACUAUUUUAGCUAAAAGCAUGAUGACAAAUAUGAUCAUUACUUGUUCUACUCUAUUUUUUUAUAGAAAGGUUGUAUGUAGCCCCCAGAACUCCUCAUUUUUCAGUGAUUGAACUAUCAAGAUAAUUUGAGCCUUCCAUAGUUUCUUUCUCCGAAAAAAGCAUCAUGCAUAGUUGAAGCGCAGUUCGACAUGAACUCCCUCAGAGUAAACCUCAAGCUAUAACGGACUUCACCAAGCAUCUACCACUGCGCCAUUUGUGCAGGGCUUGCACUGUACUAUCAGAAAGGUGUACUUGUACUACUCAAAGUAAUGGAAUAGGGGUACUUUCUCCUGUAACUUCUGUAAUUCAAGUAUGACGCACACAUCGGUCUUUUAAGCACUAUGAUUUUGUAGCUCACAGAAAACACAGCAUGAGAAUUAUUCAACAAAACACAGAAAAGUGAACAACAAAAUAUUUUUGGCUAGAGUAGCAAAGGUACCAAGAAAAUGCACAAUACUAUUGACUAACACAUGAAGUCGAUGUACGCGUGCCUUGUAGCGUAGGGUUGUACUGACACACUCAGCAUCAGGUGAUUUCCAAUUCACACAAGAUCAAACUGCACCAGUUCGUUAUGCGAAGGUCGGCUGCCUGGGUCAUCACCUUUCGAACUGAACCCCACGCCCCUGUUGAACUGCUGAAAUAUUUUAGUACGGGUUAGAUACAGUGCCAAACUAGUACUUCCUCUGUAAACUAAUAUAAGAGCGUUUAGAUCACUACUUUAGUAUUCUAAACGCUCUUAUAUUAGUUUACGGAGGGAGUACCUGAAAAUCUCAUCCCCAAAUAUGCAUGUCAAUCUUCACAGUUGGAAGUAAUAUGAGCUAUCUCAAAACAUCGAACUGAUACAUACAUGCAAGAACAAAACCGGUACAAGAAAUACAAACAAUCAAUAUGAGGAGGAAUCUCUAGAUGAAUAAGAACAGAGCAUCAAGAAGAUUCAUCAAAUUCAUACCAAAAACAUGAGGAGGGGUCAUGGUACGCCAACCAAUAGGCUAUGCGGGAGGAGGGCGCGACCUACAGCGGGAGGAGGGCGCGACCUGCAGUUUCAGUGGUAUAUGCCUAAUAACAAUUGGAAGGUAGAUGAUCAGCCAGUGUCGGCCAACAACCUUCUUGACAACACACUGUAGACCGACCAACAUGGACUUUGUUGGGUAUAGUUUAUUUAUUCAUGCACUGUUAAGCGUGGCCAUUUUGAACUUACGAAGUUUUCUAUACCCAUCUGAACCUACAAAGUUUUCCUAUAGCCGUUUUGAACUUACAAAGUUUUUCUCGAUGAACUUUCAUGUGGUUUCUUUACAAGGAACUUUCAUAAGGGAACUUCUCGCGUGAUUGCACAUGUACUCGUUAUAUUUUCUCCGAAGCCAGAAUGGUUUUCAUAUGUUUCGUACACUAUGGUGAUGAAUAUAAACAGUGGGUGAGCACCAAGACAGCUUUAACAUGGGAUCCCUUCCCCCAAGAGGAAGCAAUAGGAAUUAUUGCUUAGAAAAUAAGCAAGUGCAAGUACAAGGAGAGUAGCAAGAGUUGUAC
rnacentral:lncRNA from 1 species